GACGAACGCUGGCGGCGUGCUUAACACAUGCAAGUCGAACGGAAAGGCCCUGCUUUUGUGGGGUGCUCGAGUGGCGAACGGGUGAGUAACACGUGAGUAACCUGUCCUUGACUUUGGGAUAACUUCAGGAAACUGGGGCUAAUACCGGAUAGGAGCUCCUGCUGCAUGGUGGGGGUUGGAAAGUUUCGGCGGUUGGGGAUGGAAUCGCGGCUUAUCAGCUUGUUGGUGGGGUAGUGGCUUACCAAGGCUUUGACGGGUAGCCGGCCUGGGAGGGUGACCGGCCACAUUGGGACUGGGAUGCGGCCCAGACUCCUACGGGAGGCAACAGUGGGGAAUGUUGCACCAUGGGCUGGAGGCUGGUGCAACCACGCCCCGUUCGGGGUGACGGCCUUCGGGUUGUAAACCGCUUUCGCCUUUGCCGAAGCGUUAAUGACGGUAAUGGGUAAAGAAGCACCGGCUAACUACGUG
rnacentral:rRNA from 1 species